UGCAUCUUAAACAAGAAUGACAAGAGCUUUAGUCACCAUUCCUAUCAAGCUUGCUUGAAAGAUGGGAAGAAUAGAGGGAAAUACUCUAAUUAGAAGGCCUUCUACAAUGGAAAUGUAGCAUCCUACAGGACUAAGUCUGAGAGAUACCAUAUUGGCCUACAGGGGAUCCUUUGGUGACACAAAGGAAAUGCAGAGGCUUCUGUGUUGCCCCCCUGCCUGAUGUCCACUGCGCUGGAAGUGCAAAUUUUUAGUAUCACUUGAAGACUGUGUUUGAGGGAUGUUUCCUGGUCUUGCUUGCACACCAGGAGGCUAUCAAGGAAAGUGUGCAAUCAGAGUCAGAAUGGAAAAUCACAUUAAAGCAAGGUGGGGAAUGUUGGUUGGUUGGUUAACUAGUUAGCUGCCUAGCUGAGUGACUUCAGCAAAGGAGGAGGAAGAGCCUGCGUGAAUUCAAACAGAAAAAUUCUACAAGCAAGUGGAGGGAAGAUGUUUCUUUUGAUUCAGCAGACCGUGUAGAUUUUGGUGAUCAAAGACUGUAGCUGAGACUAGGUGAAUUCAAUCUAAGCUUUUGGAUACUCUGAGUUUCUUCUCACUGUUUCUGUGGGGACUGGUCUGUUUAGAUUUAUUUUUUUUCUUUAUGUUUUUGUAUAAUUUUAAUGUAUGUAGCUUAUCAAGUAGCAAAGUUAUAUUAUAAAAAUAUUAUUAUAAUUUGUUUCUUUUUCCUAAGCGUUUAUAAAGUUGGUAUUUAAGAAUUAAAUUCUUUUGGACUUGA